rnacentral:rRNA from 1 species
GAUGAACGCUGGCGGCGUGCCUAAUACAUGCAAGUCGAGCGAACAGACGAGGAGCUUGCUCCUCUGACGUUAGCGGCGGACGGGUGAGUAACACGUGGAUAACCUACCUAUCAGACUGGGAUAACUUCGGGAAACCGGAGCUAAUACCGGAUAAUAUCUUGCACCACAUGGUUCAUUAGUGAAAUACGGCUUUGCUGUCUCUUCUAGCUGGAUCCGCGCCGCAUUAGCUAGUUGGUAAGGUAAAGGCUUACCAAGGCAACGAUGCGUAGCCGACCGGAGAGAGUGAUAGCCCGCAUUGGAACGGAGACACGGACAAGACGACUACGAGAGGCAGCAGAAGGGAAUCGUCCGCAAUAGUCGAAAGCAUGACGGAGCAAGGCCGAGCGAGUGAUGAAGGUCUUCGGAGCGUAAAACUCGGUUACUAGGUAAGAACAAAUGUGUAAGUAACUAUGCACGGCUUGACGGUAACUAAUCAGAAAGCAACGGCUAACUACGUG